GGACAGAUGGCCGAGUGGCUGAAGGCGCACGCUUGGAAAGCGUGUAUACCGCAAGGUAUCCAGGGUUCGAAUCCCUGUCUGUCCGCCA
rnacentral:tRNA from 2 species